rfam:Schistosoma mansoni strain Puerto Rico chromosome 3, complete genome
AUCCAGCUGACUAGUCCCAAAUAGGACAAAAUGUGCGUCAAACUGGAU